rnacentral:lncRNA from 1 species
UAUUUCGAAACAUGUUAUAUGCUGUGUUUCUGGUUCUAAACUUAACCGUAAAAACAUGAACGGCAUUAAAUUGUCCACCUUUCAAUCGUGUCGAGUUCAUGCUGUCAAUUUGAUAUAUAUAAUAUUUACAUGAUAGUAUUUUCCUUUCAAACACAGACAUCGAAUUCUAAAUUAUUUAAUUACGUUUACCAUGCGGUAAUUCCUACACUAUC